rnacentral:rRNA from 1 species
UCCACCUAUUAUUACCAACCCAUUAUUAGUACUGGAUAAAUUCAUAAAUUAUGAAUACUACCAUGCUAGAACUAGUAACAAGAAAACGAAUUUCUCCAAAGUGUAAAUAUAAAUCAAAAUGGACAACCCAUUGAUAAUUAACGCCCCUGAACCAACUAUAGCAAAUUUUUCUAGAAAAUCCUAUAUUCAACACCGUUAACCUUACACAAGAACCCUUCUGGAAAGAUUAAAAGGGAGAGAAGGAACUCGGCAAAUCUUAACCCCGCCUGUUUACCAAAAACAUCGCCUCUUGCUUAAACAUAAGAGGUCCAGCCUGCCCAGUGUUCUUAUCAACGGCCGCGUGAUUUAAGCGCGCGAAGGUAGCAUAAUCAUUUGUUCUUUAAAUGGGGACUUGUAUCAAUGGCAUCACGAGGGUUAUACUGUCUCCUCCCCCCAAUCAGUGAAACUAAUCUCCCUGUGAAAAAGCAGGAAUAAACAUAUAAGACGAGAAGACCCCAUGGAGCUUAAAACACAGCAGCAACCCUAAUAACAUAUUCAACAUAAUUUUAAGUCCUGUAUGCUAGUUUUAGGUUGGGGUGACCGCGGAGCAGAACAAAACCUCCACGCCGAAAAGGCCUACGCCCUUAUUCAAGAGAAACCGCUCUAAAAAUUAUCAAAAUAACGCUUAGUGAUCCGACUAUCGACCAACGGACCAAGUUACCCUGGGGAUAACAGCGCAAUCCACUCUAAGAGCCCCUAUCGACGAGUGGGCUUACGACCUCGAUGUUGGAUCAGGGUAUCCAAGUGGUGCAGCCGCUACUAAAGG